rnacentral:rRNA from 1 species
GAUUCUAUAGAUAUUUUUAGAUAUUGAAAUUAUUUAAAAUAUUUAUAGGGAGUUACACGUUAUCGUUUCUUAGGUUAUCUAGUUGAAUGAAUUUAAAGGGAAACCUUUUUAGAGGAUUUUUUUUGUAAAAAUAUGGUUAUUUUCUUAAUAGUAGGAAAUUGUGUAAUAACAUAAUUUUAUAAAUGAGGGAUCCUUUCUAUUUUUAAGAAUUUAUUUUAAUUAAUUAGUGGAUUAGUAGAAAAGAAUUUAUUUAUUGAAAUUUUAUAUUAUUUUUAUUUUUAAAAGUUAUUUUUGUUUACUGAUUUUUUCUUAGACUGGUUAAUAAAAUCUUAGCUAUAAUAAUUAUAGUUAUUUCUGCCCUAUGCGAUUCUAGGUAAAUGGCUGUCUUGUGACACUAAGGUAGCAUAAUCAUUAGUUAUUUAAUUGAUAACUUGGAUGAAUGAAUUUUCUAGGAAGAUAUUAUUUUUUUUUUUUAAAUUUAUAUUUUUGUUGAAAAUAACAAUAUUUCCUAUAAGACUAAAAGACCCUAAAAUUUUUAUAACUGAGAAGUUAUUUGGUUGGGGAAAUAAAAAGAAAUAAAUAAUAAAUAAUUUAUUUUUCUUUGAACUUUUAAUAAAGAUAAAAGGUAAAAUACUUUAGGGAUAACAGCUUAAUUAUUUUUAAGAGUUCUUAUUAUUAAAAUAGUUUUAGACCUCGAUGUUGGAUUGAGGGUUCUUUUUGGGGCAG